rnacentral:lncRNA from 1 species
UAGAGACAUUAUCUGUUUAAUAAAUAUGAUUGUAAAAGCAAUAAACAAGAGCAAUUAUACAUUACACUACAUAGUAUUUAACAAAAAAUACAUCAAAAAAGUCAUUUUAAAAUUAGAAGUAGUUCCAAUACUAUAAGAAAACUUUUUUUUUUUUUAAUUGGCUUCCUAUAAAAAUAAGUCGGCAAAUGAGAGAUUUCAAUGCUCAGUUGGAUUCCUGGAAAACACAGAACAGCUGCCAAGCACCCCACUGCUCUCAAAGUUGCUGUUUGGAACUUCUGAAAAAAAAGCAAAGCAAACCUCUGCAUUUUGGACAGUGAAUCCAAUUAAAAAUAAGGCAAGGUAGAAAGUGUUGCUUGGGUGGUUCAGGGUAGAACAUGCACAGUUUGCCUUCUGGGAUUUUGGAAAACGUUGCAGUAUCGGAUUUUUAGCUUGCCCUGAAUCUUACCUUCCACAUACAUCCCUCCCUACACACUCCUCUGACCUUAAGCCCACCAAACUCCUUGUGUGUUUGCACCUGCGAUUAGCGAGUAGGUAGGCACUUAGGUCCCUCCCAUUUGUAGGCUCUCAUUACUGCCUUCUGUUUGAGAUUCAGCUGGAAUGGCCUAGUACAAUGGUCCUAAGAACAAUGAGGUCCUCCUCUCUGAGCAGCACCUUGCCUCACUAAUCUCCUACAGAUGGGAGGGAGCUUUGAGGAGAGGCACAUGAGGAUCCUGGAGAUGCUG